rnacentral:rRNA from 1 species
CUAUAGAGUUUGAUCCUGGCUCAGAGCGAACGCUGGCGGCAGGCUUAACACAUGCAAGUCGAGCGGGCGUAGCAAUACGUCAGCGGCAGACGGGUGAGUAACGCGUGGGAACGUACCUUUUGGUUCGGAACAACACAGGGAAACUUGUGCUAAUACCGGAUAAGCCCUUACGGGGAAAGAUUUAUCGCCGAAAGAUCGGCCCGCGUCUGAUUAGCUAGUUGGUGAGGUAACGGCUCACCAAGGCGACGAUCAGUAGCUGGUCUGAGAGGAUGAUCAGCCACAUUGGGACUGAGACACGGCCCAAACUCCUACGGGAGGCAGCAGUGGGGAAUAUUGGACAAUGGGCGCAAGCCUGAUCCAGCCAUGCCGCGUGAGUGAUGAAGGCCCUAGGGUUGUAAAGCUCUUUUGUGCGGGAAGAUAAUGACGGUACCGCAAGAAUAAGCCCCGGCUAACUUCGUGCCAGCAGCCGCGGUAAUGCGACGUCGGCCCA